UACGUAGGGUGCAAGCGUUGUCCGGAAUUAUUGGGCGUAAAGAGCUCGUAGGCGGUCUGUCGCGUCUGCUGUGAAAACUCAGGCUUAACCCUGAGCUUGCAGUGGGUACGGGCAGACUAGAGUGCGGUAGGGGAGACUGGAAUUCCUGGUGUAGCGGUGAAAUGCGCAGAUAUCAGGAGGAACACCGGUGGCGAAGGCGGGUCUCUGGGCCGUAACUGACGCUGGAGGAGCGAAAG
rnacentral:rRNA from 1 species